rnacentral:misc_RNA from 1 species
AAUAGGAUCCGACCUAUUCAUAUUUGGACUGCAAAUUGCAUAUUUUGCUAAAAUUUCAUGUCCUCCAUCACUUCUAGACUUCUCAAGGGCAGCAACAAUACCCAAUCCAACCCCACCAAGAUCAUAAUUCUUUAGACCUCUAGGUGAUUGAAUUCUGUACUCCAACGGACUUCUUGGACUUGGACUAGUGGAAACAUCCAAGAAUCCUAACGGGUUGCCGGAAACCAAUAAUUCUGAUAAUCUUACGAUCAUGGGAUGGGUUCUUUUACUCAGCAUAGCUAUGUGAAAGGCUGCAACAAAAAUUAUAUGAGGAGAAAUUUAGAGAUGUGGGAGAUGGAAUAUAAAUCUCUCCACAAAUGACACUCUCUG